UUGGUAACUUUGCUUGUACCUCUUGAGCACAAGGUAUAGAAUUAAUAUCUGGAUUUGAGAUAGAACAUAGAAGAUUUCUCUCAGGGAAGAACUACCACUAUGCUAGCCACCAGCCUGCUGGGAGUAGCCAUUGCCUCCAUCUGUCUUGGAACGAGCAUGGCCCAGAAGGUAGCUCAAGAUCAGACUGCAAUUUCUGUGAUGGAGAAGGAGGCUGUAACUUUUAACUGACUCUUACAAUGAGCAAAACGCAACGGAGGGUCGCUAUUCCCUCAACUUCCAGAAGGCAUCCAGUUCCAUCCAGCUCACCAUCACAGCCUCACAGCUCAUGGAUGCAGCAGUGUAUUUCUGUGCCCUGGAAGAGGCCACAGUGAGAGGGCUGCCUGUGGGAGUCCCACAAAAACCUCAAGAAGAGCUAGGGCCUCUGGGGGGAGACCCCACCACAGACAGGGAG